AUUGAACGCUGGCGGCAGGCCUAACACAUGCAAGUCGAACGGUAACAGGGAUCAGCUUGCUGAUUCGCUGACGAGUGGCGGACGGGUGAGUAAUGUCUGGGAAACUGCCUGAUGGAGGGGGAUAACUACUGGAAACGGUAGCUAAUACCGCAUAACGUCGCAAGCCCAAAGAGGGGGACCUUCGGGCCUCUUGCCAUCGGAUGUGCCCAGAUGGGAUUAGCUAGUAGGUGGGGUAACGGCUCACCUAGGCGACGAUCCCUAGCUGGUCUGAGAGGAUGACCAGCCACACUGGAACUGAGACACGGUCCAGACUCCUACGGGAGGCAGCAGUGGGGAAUAUUGCACAAUGGGCGCAAGCCUGAUGCAGCCAUGCCGCGUGUAUGAAGAAGGCCUUCGGGUUGUAAAGUACUUUCAGCGGGGAGGAAGGGAGUAAAGUUAAUACCUUUGCUCAUUGACGUUACCCGCAGAAGAAGCACCGGCUAACUCCGUG
rnacentral:rRNA from 1 species